UUUUAUGCCUGGCAAACUGUGUUAAUAACGUGCAUAAAGAUACAAUUUAAAAACUUGUUCUUUGACAAGUUGUCUGUCAUGUGUAGACAUAAAAUUGAUUCACCGCUUUACUUUUGUGUCUUUUUGUUUGUUUAAAUGAUUCGUAUGUCAUUGUUAACAGUCUGUCAGGUACAAGGACUAAACUAAAACUAGGUGAUAAAGCAGCCAAUGUCCAAAGCAAAACUCAGAAAGACCUGGAGAAAGUCUGGAGAACUAUUAGUCAAAUCUCUUUUGAGAGAUUAUAGAAGAAAACACAAGUCACUGAAAAUUCAGUUGGAUAAAAGGAGUCUGGCUCAUCAGAAGCACACUAUAAAGAAAUGAGGGGUAGCUCAAGGUUUUUGCGCAGUCUUGUUUUUGUGAUUGCAGGAUGAACAAUGAAGUUUGCCAGUCUGCAUUCAACCAACUCACAACAUCAUACACAUCGAGGAACAAGCAGUUGGAAUUCUGCAUGGGAAGAUUUUCAUUGGUUGAAAGCCCCUCUCUUCAGGCCCUCUGUAGGCUGCGUCAUUUACCAGUGUGGGUGUUUUCCAUCCUUCCUGUUGUGACAUCGGAUGUGCAAGUUGUGAAUUUUUAAAGUUUUCUCUUAUCUAUUUAAUUAAAGUUGCCUUAUUUCUAUCAUUCUUAUCUCCCCAGUGACUGGCUGCCUGCCUGCAUGCAGUCUUCACCCUAUUCUUAACAUUCUCAUUCACACAUAAUAAGCCUGUUUAAUUGCAUAUGUGUGACCCCCACUCGUCUGAAACCAGUCACUGUGUCAAUAAAUUAUAGUAAAGGCUUGGGCUGCUGUCUAGAAUAUUAAUCAUCCCUCUUGCUGUGUAAUGCUGUUUUAGCCAACUGCACGCCCUCAUUUGAAUCACCUCUGCAGGGUCACUUGAUUGAGCUUAACAAGGCUCUUAAAGCAACAGCUCAGCAGCUUUUAGAAAUACAUUUAUUCACUUUUUGUUGAGACUUAGAUGAGCAAGACUGCUGUAUAUAUGCCUUAUGAAUACAUAAGGCUGAAGCUGGAAGCUAGCUCAGCACAAAGACUGUGAACAGGCGGGGAAACAUGAAACUAAGCCUGCUGUAUGUAGCCUUAGGAUGUGAGAACAUUAGAACCACACUCCAGUUGUCAACCAGAAAGCACUUCCAGCUCCAUUUUUAUUUUUGGACCCUGCUGGAGUAGCUUUUGCACAGUUCAGAGUAAUAAUUCAUUUUAUACUGGAUGAUGGUACAGCCCCCUUGGGUCAUCCACUUUCUGAAAUGAGCAAUUCCUUUCUCUUUUAGCCAGCUUUCUUCUGAUUGGCUGCCCCUUGCAAACAAAGGGUUUAAGCACCAGGUGGAUGGGACUGCUGCGCUAAAAGCUAGAGCUUCAAAUUUUGAAGCAGAUGGGUUACAGCAGCAGAAGACCACACCAGCUGCCACUCCUGUAGACCAAGAACAGGAAACUGAGGCUACAGUUCUCAUGGACUCACUGUACAAAUCACCUUACACUGGUUUGUUGAACAUGUCAGUGAGUUCACUGUACUCAGAUGGCCUCCACAAACACCAGAUCUCAAUCCGAUAGAGCAGCCUUGGGAUGUGGUGGCAUGGGAGAUUCACAUUGUGGAUGUGCAGCCAACAAGUCUGCAGCAACUGUGUGAUGCUAUUAUGUCAGUAUUAACCAAGCUCCCAGAGGAAUAUUGCCAGCAUCUUGUUGAAUCUGUUGUACGAAGAAUUAAAACAGUUCUGAAAGCAAAAAGAAGUCCAAAGUGGUUCUAUCGAUAUGUACAGAGUCCAGUGAGUGCAUGUCGUUUUAAUGGCUGUACUGUCAUACUGUCAAAAAUCCAAUAAAAGACCUUGACGUGUUAGUUUGGAGAGGUGUGGGGGACAGGUUCCACAAAUAUAGUGUUCGCAACACCAAAUUACAGGACUCCACCAAGCAUGUGAAUGCACCAUUCAGUAUUUACUUCAGUUAUUAUCAGGUGUGGUUUAAAAAUACAUGAAAACGUUAUCAGGCAGGGAGGAAAAAAUAUAUAUAUUAAUGAGUCCUAGUCCUGCACCUUAUUGCAGACAUUCCUCGCCAGACUGAAAUGGAAACUGGUUAGAUAAAAUUGGCUACUUCCUGGAGUCUGGGGAAUAGUCAGUCACACACACAAAAGGAAGGGCAGGGAGAAGUGGAGAGGGAGAGAGGGGGAGAGGGGAGGGGACAGCGUGCGUCUGCAGCGACUUCCACAAUACCUCUGACAGACCCUUUCCC